UGUUAUAAAGCUUCAUGAUUAACUUAAGAUAGAAUUUUGAUUAUGAAAUUCUAGUACCAUAAUAUAGCAUGCUUUCAUGAAUGAUAUGUUGAUGGUGAACUUUAGUAUUUAGAUACCAUGUUAUCUCUAGAUGAAUUGAAAUAUUGACAUUUGCAUAAUUUUGGUUGUUGAACGACAUGAUUCCUUGUUUAAGCCUUUUGUUGAAAGCCCAUUAAGUUUAUUAUCGUUUUCAAUACAUAGUCGCCACUAAUACAUUUAGCGGCGACUUCUAUGGGUUUAGUGGCAGCGUUCGUCGCAAUGUUGCCACAAAUAACCUUCAGUGACGGAUUAAGUUUAUUAUCGUUUUCAAUACAUAGUCGCCACUAAUACAUUUAGCGGCGACUUCUAUGGGUUUAGUGGCAGCGUUCGUCGCAAUAUUGCCAGAAAUAACCUUCAGUGACGGCAACUCCAAUUUCAAUACACAGUCGCCACU
rnacentral:lncRNA from 1 species